GACGAACCGUGCGAACGUUGUUCGGAUUCACUGGGCUUAAAGGGCGCGUAGGCGGCUUGUCAAGUCAGGGGUGAAAUCUUUCGGCUCAACCGGAAAAGUGCUUCUGAUACUGGCAGGCUGGAGGGAGGUAGGGGCAGAUGGAACUUCCGGUGGAGCGGUGAAAUGCGUAGAUAUCGGAAGGAACGCCGGUGGCGAAAGCGAUCUGCUGGACCUCUUCUGACGCUGAUGCGCGAAAGCCAGGGGAGCAAACAGG
rnacentral:rRNA from 1 species